CAUGAAGGUACUUUGUGUGAUUUCUCACAUGUUCAGGGCAGACCCACAGGACUCUUGUGUGCUUUGGAGAUGACACGAGUGUUUGAAAGGCACACAGCUGCACAGCCAGCUGGGGGCUGUCUGUCUGAAAGUAACGGCCUCUUGGUUCUCAGCUCAGAGAGUUCUGUCACAGAGGUGUAGCAGGUGUGAGUGCUGUCGGCACCAGGAUCCUGCUUCCUGUUAGCCACAGACAGAGAGGAGGAACAUCCAGCAAGUGCCUUCAUGCAGAGCCCUAUUUCUGCCAGUGGCAAUAUAAAUGCAGCAGCUGAAGAGGAAGCAAAGUCUUGGCCCUCUGCUCCAGCCAGCACCUUGGAAACGUUAACAAAGAGAACAAAUUGCCACUGUGUUUGCAAAGCUCUGCCAGGCACCUCUCCUUCUCAAUUUUAUUUUCCAUUACCGGAAGUGGAGUUAAAGAAUGAAAGGGAAACACAGAGGGGAAAGAAAUGAGAGUGGAAAUGAUCAUGACAAGAAAUUUUCCCAGCUGCUUAAAUAACCCCUGAAGAGUGAGAGUUUCCCACCACAGGCAGCAUGUUCAACCACACAGAACUGAGGAAGUAACUCAUAACUACCA
ensembl:lncRNA